UACGUAGGGGGCGAGCGUUGUCCGAAGUUACUGGGCGUAAAGCGCGCGUAGGCGGACUCUUAAGUGAGGGGUGAAAGGUUCAGGGCUCAACCCGAACACUGCCUUUGAUACUGAAGAUCUUGAGUUCGGGAGAGGUGAGUGGAACUGUGAGUGUAGAGGUGAAAUUCGUAGAUAUUCGCAAGGACACCAGUGGCGAAGGCGGCUCACUGGCCCGAUACUGACGCUGAUGCACGAAAGCGUGGGGAGCAAACAGG
rnacentral:rRNA from 1 species